UUUAUGGAGAGUUUGAUCCUGGCUCAGGACUAACGCUGGCGGCGUGCCUAAUACAUGCAAGUCGAACGGUCAUGCGUUUGUAGCAAUAUGAAUGUAUGAUAGUGGCGAACGGGUGAGUAACACGUGGAUAAUCUACCUCUAAGUGGGGGAUAACUCCGGGAAACUGGGGAUAAUACCGCAUAAUAUUUCGACAGGGCAUCUUGUUGAAAUCAAAGGAGCAAUUCGCUAAGAGAUGAAUCCGCGUCCCAUCAGCUAGUUGGUAGGGUAA
rnacentral:rRNA from 1 species